rnacentral:hammerhead_ribozyme from 1 species
AUUCAGUUGACGAGUCCUAAAUAGAACGAAACACGAAUCCUGAAU